rnacentral:lncRNA from 1 species
AAAUAUAGGCAAUUACAGAGGAUAAGAUUAAAUUUUUUUUAUUUAUUUUUUUAAUUUACAGUUUUGUAAAACGACUAUGUUUUCAUUGUGGGGUUAAACACAUUUCUAGUGGUUGUUUUCCAGAGUCAGACUCGUUUCAAGAGAGCAUUUGAUUGAUGUAUCUUUGUGAUUUGCUGCACAUGUGCACUGGCCUUCCAAUGCUUCCGUAUAAGGAAGAUCGAGUGGAUGUGGUGAGAUUUUACAGCGAGAGGGGGUACAGGUAAAUAAAACUCCAGUUUUAAACCCUUAUGGAAGGGGAGGAGGGGUAUAACACAUCAAAAUCGGUAGGGUAAAUCUACAGCAUGUUUGUAUUCCUAAUGCUAUAGUGUGUAGCAGUUUGGUCUUUAAUUUAUAGGUAUUCAAAAAAAACUAUUGGUUUAAGAUUGACAUCAGUUGAAGAGUUCAUGAUAUUUUAAAAAAAACAAACAAAAAAACCCACAUAAAAUGGAUCUUUAAUGCAAAUAUUGACAGAGUUCUUUUUUUUUUUUUAAUGUAUUUCUUACAUAAAAUAUUUUGAAAUACAAACUUGUAAGAGAGCUACUUCCUGCAAGUGUCUUUAUGAAUGAUGUCCCAUAACUCCAUUUAGAUGAAAUGCUCACAUGUUAGGGUGAAUAAGUUAAGGAUUAAAUUGAUUAAUGCUUCUAGUUUUAUUUUGAAAAACAUGUCUUGGGGCUUUCCAAAUUGAUGUUUGAAGAUUUGUCCCUGAUUUUUUUUUAAACUGGUAUGUUUUAAGUAUUCUGGAGGCUCACACAUGCAUUUGGAACUAACAAUAUUAAAGACAAUGUAUUUGAAGUUGUUUUAAGAAUGUUAUUACUGUGCAAUCAUUCAUGCUGCCAUGAGGGUUUAUAUGCCAACUACAACACAAGCAAUGCAGUUAGGAUUCAUUUAAUGGAGAUUCGAUACCAAAAGUGACAUACUAUUACUCCUCUGGAACGUCACGUCUGUAAAAACCGGAGUAGAUGACAAAGGUGAGGGCAAAUGAUUGGCUCUUCACGUCAUGUGGCCAGGACUAACUGACUCCUGUAUGGUUUAAGUAAAGACACCCAGGAACUUCAACAUUCUGGUUGAGAAAGCCUGAAACGUGAAACCGGUACGAUCAUUAUAUUUGAUUUUAGCAAAAGCAAGGAAGUCAGUGCCGCACGCAGGAAGUAGUAUCACUUGAUAUGACAAAGUCCCAUAACAUCAGAGCGAGUCAUAUCAGGCUCCCUCCAAUGUGAGUGGGUUUACAUACAAUAUUUGGACAGAGUUUUAGGUGUAUACACAGUAUUAUACGUAUGUGUCUUGUUUUCCCCAUGUUGUAGAUGGAGACACAUAUCCUAUACAUAGAGGUAAUUACUACAUAUUGAAGUGCUCUACUAUCAUGUUUUCUUUGGGAAUGCUAUUUAUUUUUAGCACCAGAUAUUCUUCAUGUCAAGCGCUAUCUACAGUAACCUAGCAUGACAUUUUGAAUGGACUGCAAUAAGCAAUUUUCAGAUACACUUCCCAUUGUAUGUCCAUAGCCUUUUCAAAUGUUAGAAUACCAUCAUGUAAUAAUACUUUUACAUGGACUGAAAUACAGACAAAAUGUAAAAUUUUAUUUAAUCUGUUUAAGCUUAAACAACAGUUAAAAAUAAUGUAAAAUUAGAUACAACUUUAUUGUUGCAUGCAGCUUUGAAUACGGUCCAUACAUACUGGAUAUUAAUUCCAAUUAAAAGACCUUCAGCUCAUAAUUUUCAUGUGAAAACUGAGUUCACGUAAAUCUUCCCGUUACGAGUACUUCAGAGUCUCGUGUGUCCUGUCCAAUGCAGCAACUGGACAGGAGAAAGGACAUGUAGCUCAGCCAUCUUCCGUACGGCACAGUGUUUAGCAAACAAGAGUAUGUAAAACACCAGAGAAUAGUCAAGAGGAACGUGCAAAUUUCAGUAUUCCUGAAAAAAAAAAAAAAAAAAAAAAAGAGACAAAAAAGUAAGUUCGUAUACUAUAGAGUAUUAAAUAUCUUCAAGCUAUGAUGGCAAGGAUUUAAUGUGUCUCGCUUAGUACACAAAAGGAAGUAGUUAAGAAAAGUUCUAUAAGUAAAUAAAGCACCACAUUAAACCAAUACAAUUUUGUGUUUUUUUUUUCAGUAGAACCAGUUUUAGAAAUGUGCUUGUUACCAUGCCCAUGCUAAAUAAAUAUCACUGACCUAAUGUCAACGUUAUUCAUGGUUAGGAAUUCAAAGUGAUUUUUACACAAAAAUACCCAAACUGGGAGCAUAUGUGACUAGGACAAAAAAUGUUUAUAGUUCAGCUAUUUUUGUCUUAAAUUGGAAAUUCACACUAAUUCUGGACAAUUUUCACUUUAUUAAAAAAAAAAAACCCCUGCAUAUUUCCAUUUUGUUUUGAAGUUCCUAUGCUGGAAGGAAUACAGAUUCAACUAGUUUCUACCAGGGCUGUGAAGUCUGAUUUGUGGAAUAAGAAGCAUUUUUUUUAUUUUUAUUAUUAUUAAUUUAACUAAAAAAUACUAAGUAAGUAUAUUCUUGUGUAUAUGCCACAACAUUAGAUAGGCUAUACAGGUUUAGGCAUAUAUUUGCUGGAAAAGUCAAAUCUCCAAAAAAUGCAACAUUUGGGAAUAGGAUAAGGCUGCAGGACUCAUAUAGGCUUACGAUUUUGGCCUUGGCUAGGCAAAAGACGCCAAUAAAUAGUCUAGUUUCAUAUGAAAUUAUAAAUGUUAUUUUACUUACUGUAUCCGGUUAUGGGAUAGGCUAUUUUAUAGUAUAAUAAGAUGGUCAGAGUUUAAACAAAACAUAAACAAACAUUAGCGUGUUGUUUACCAUUUUGCCAAUACAGGGCGAUAGAUGGCACCUAUGUGUACGCCAGUCUGUUGCGUUUACAUGAAAUUAUAUGAAACUGCAGGCUGUAAUGUUAUCUACUAGUUCUUCAGGCAUAUGAAACAAUAAGCAGACUAGAAGAGACAACUUAUUAUAGCCACCAAAGCUAGAAACUCUUGUGUGUAACCGAGAUAGCAAUGAAAAAGUACUGAGGACAUAGCGAUUCAUAGAGAUGUGCAAUAAACAAUUACUAUACUAUAGCUUGUUAGAACUAGUGACCCUUUAGUUGUUGUCAUUUGCGUUGCUUCAGUUAUCAACUGCCAGGGCACACUAAAUGCUGACCUAAUGCGCGUGUGUGACAACGGCCAGGCUCGCAUUAGGAUUUCCCCAUAGGAAAGCAUUAUUUAUUGCUUUCCUGUGGGGAUUCCAGUGACAGUGGAAGUUCAUGCAGAGCAUGAGGACGUCCAGAGUCGUUUAGGCGACUAAAAGUCCCCUAUCCACACGGAAGACAGCCACUAGAGGAGGAGUUAACCCUAGCAGGUAAUUAUUGUAGUUUACCAGAGUAGUUUUAUAAAAACUGCAAUAAUUACCACCCUAGGAUUAAGGGUGAUGUGAGUUUGCACCCAGAUCACUUCAAUGAGCUGAAGUAGUCUGGGUUCCUACAGUGUUCCUUUAAAAAGGUAGGCCAAGAUAGCGGAAUUAGAAAUCUCUCCAAAUCAAUUCUCUUUUCAGUUAGGCUUAAAGGAUCAACUAUAGUGCCAGGAAAACAAACUUGUUUUCCCGACACUAUAUACUCUUUAGGACCCCCCCCCUUCCUCAGGGUCCCAACCCCUUCAGUUACUUACUUUAAUCCAGCGCCAGGCUCCCUCUGCACUGGUAACCUCUCCUCCCCCGCCAGCUACCGAGUGGAGCGGAAUGCGCAUCAAGUGCCGCGCAUGCAUUCAAACAGUCCAUAGGAAUACAUAGAAUAAGGGUAGAUACAGAUACUAGGAUCUCAAUAUAUACAGCAGCCUCUCAUUAGGCACACUCCAAAACAAGCCUAGAUAAGUGACAGUAUAAAAAAAAAAAAUUGGGGCUUACCCGAAUAUUACACCAACUGAGGGCGCAAGGAAACUGUAGUGACUACAAAAUAGUCAGAGCAGACUAUAAAAGUAACAAAUUUAUUCCAAAUAAAAAUAUAUACAUAAAAAAACAGCACUAUUGUGAGACCGGGAUAAAUAUCCAGCACCAACCACUAGAUAUGGUGAGAAUGGGUAUUCUCAAAGCCCUUUGGUCGCAACUCCUGGGGGUUAGGGGAUACCUACAGUAGAAUAUACAUCGUGGCGGUAAUCAGGUCUCUGGGCUGUCGUCUUCUGGCUCAACAAAUAUUUAUAUCCACACAACAUUGUUUUAUAUAGAUAGAUAGAGAUAUAUUUGUAGAUUUUUUCUAUCUUCUAGACUUUCUUUAUUGUGUGUUUUGACUUAUUUGAAUGUAUACUUGGGUUUUUUGAUGAUGACCUAUGUACUCAGCUAGGAAUUUGGACAUUCUAACUCACUUAAGCGUAGGUUCCAUGUGUGUCCUUUUGGUUUUAUUAAGACUCAAAUAUACAUAGUCACUAUUUUGAUACUGCAGGUAUGCAACUCAUUUGACAGAUGCAUUGUUAAAUUUUAACCAUACAACAAUGAUUAAUUAGAGUUCCCUACUAAUCUUUAUAGUGGAUAUCAAGAUAUCACCUUUUGAUAUCUCCCCUUGUUAACAAUAUCAUACACAUAUUACCUUAGAUAGGAAAUGCCUCCCUCUCAAUAGCUUAUAUAUACAUAUUCUAAUAAUUCCCAGGAACAUCUAGUUACCCUUCAUUUCAUAGAUGUCACCAGUCAUGCCCUUUUAUAGUGCUUUAGAAUUAAUUUAUCACACAUAAUGUAAUAUUGGAUUAGCUAUGUUGAGUUGUAAACCCUUCUUUUUCAGGCAAUACCUAUUAGAGUAUAUGCUAUGUGUAAACCGUAUCCUUUACUGUUUAACCCCUUAAGGACCGAGGACGGUUCAGGACCAUCAUCGGCAUUUUUGCCUUGAGGACCGAUGACGGUCCUGAACCAUCCAAACGGUCAGAGCUACUUACCUGAUCGCCGUCGUUCCCCCGGCGGCGAUCAGCGUGGCUCCGGUUGUGGGGAGACUGCCUGCAGCCCAGACAGUCUCCCCACGGCAGAUUAGGACCCCUGUGUCCAUGUGAUCGCUUAACAGAGCGAUCACAUGGUCACAAUAGGAGUCCAUGUGUCUGCCUGCAGGGGGACUGCCUGUGCUGACAGGCAGUCUCCCUGCUAGUGUAAAAUCAAUUAAAAAAAUAAAGUUAGUGUUAAUAAAAAAAAAAAUAAUAAUAAUUAUAUAGGUGUAUAUAUGAUAUAUAGACAUAUAUUAUAUCUAUAUAAUAUAUGUCUAUAUAUCAUAUAUAUAAUGCCAUACUAAGUAUUUUUAUAUUAAUAUGUACUUAUAUUAAUAUAAAAAUACACGUAUAAUUAAAUUACACACGUAUAUAUAUAAUAUAUAUAAUAACUAUAUAUAUUGUAUAUAUAUAUUAUUAUAAAAUAUAAAUAAUAAGUAAUUUAAAUUAAAUAAAUUUUUUUAAAUAAUAAUAAAAAUGUAAAAAAAAAUUAUAUAUCUAUAUGAAAUUUUAUUCUAACUGUAUUUUAAAAUUAAUAUAUAUAUAUUUAUAUCAAAAUACACUUAGAAUGAAUUUGUAUAUAUAUCUAUGUAUAUAAAAAUAAAUAAAAAUAAUAAGAAAUAUACAUACGUCCAUAUACAAAAUUACAUAAAUAAUUAUAUAAAUAUACGUAGACUUCAAAUAUAUAAAUAUGCAUAUAUAUUUAAAUUCUACGUGCGUUUUAUGUAAUAUUUUUACAUAAUUCAGUAAUUUUAUUGAUUGCAAUUUGAGGGACCUGCCUGCCAACCCAGGCCGAAAUUCCAGAGAAUUUAAUUUGCUAGCACUGUAUUUUACCCUGUAACGUUCUACGACACCCUAAAACCUGUACAUGGGGGGUACUGUUUUACUCGGGAGACUUCGCUGAACACAAAUAUUAGUGAUUCAAAACAGUAAAACAUAUCACAGCGAUGAUAUUGUCAGUGAAAGUUACUUUUUUUGCAUUUUUCACACACAAACAGCACUUUUACUGAUGAUAUAAUUGUUGUGAUACGUUUUCCAGUUUUUAAACACUAAUAUUUGUGUUCAGCGAUCUCAGUAAAUACUAUGUACAGGUUUUUUUAUUUUGAAAGCUACAAGGUCAAAUAUAUGGGUCAAAUAUUUUACAUUGAAAAUGGCCAGGUUGGUUCACGUUGCCUUUGAGAGCGUAUGGUAGCCCAGGAAUGAGAAUUACCCCCAUGAUGGCAUACCAUUUGCAAAGAAGACAACCAAGGUAUUGCAAAUGGGGUAUGUCCAGUCUUUUUAGUAACCACUUGGUCACAAACACUGGCCAAAAUUAGCGUUCAAUUUAGUUUUUACUUUUUCACACACAAACAAAUAUGAAUGCUUACUUUGGCCAGUGUUUUCGACUAAGUGGCUACUAAAAAAGACUGGACAUACCCCAUAUUGAAUACCCUGGGUUGUCUACUUUAAAAAAAAUAUGUACGGGGAGCGUGGCUAACCGCCGAGCAAGAUGGCCGCUUAGAAAUCUGCUCCGGCACAUGGGCUCCACCAACUCCACUUUUAACGCGAGCUGAAACCACCCUAACACCCAAGCAAACCAUGGCCUCAUCCAAAGCUAAGAAAAUGGCUGCAAAAGCCGAAAAAAUGAACUUUUUUGGACAAAAAUCCUCCCUAACAGCGGAGACAGCACGGGCGACAGACCAAGAGACCGUGGACGAGCUGGAAUCCAGCUCACUGCCGGCAAUGUCUGAAGAGCCUCAGCCCACAGACUGCCUAACACGAAGCUAUUUCGAACGUGCUAUGGAGGCAAUGGCGACAAAAUUAAUUACCACAUGGCAAACAACUGCCGACCAACUCAAACGCGAGGUCAGAGAUCUAUCGGCCAGAACAUCCGCAGCGGAACAACGCUGCCAGACCCUCGAGACCGCGCAAACAACGACUUCAGGGUGCUUACAAUCCCUACAACAACAAAUGGAAAGCAUGGAGGCGCGCAUGGCGGACCAUGAAGACAGAGCGCGCAGAAACAACCUAAGACUCAGAGGAGUCCCUGAAACGGUCCUACCUGAGGACCUGCAGGCCUAUGUGAGAGGCCUCUUACGCGCCUACGGCCCGGACAUCCCCGCAGACAUGCUGCUUGUCGAUAGGGUCCACCGAGUAGCGAAACCGAGACACCUACCAGAUUCCAUCCCACGCGAUGUCCUACUCAGGGCCCACUACUAUCAUGUGAAAGAGUUGGUCCUCAGAUCCCAUCGUAACAAAGCAAACCCGCAUGAAGACUUCCCAACAGUACGCAUCAUGGCGGACCUGUCGCCAGCUACCCUCCGACGCAGACGAGACUUCAACGUGGUCACAACCGCACUCCGCCACCAUGGAAUCCGUUACAGGUGGGGAUUCCCCACGAAGAUAAUCCUCACCAGAAACGGGAAAUCGCACCUCCUUCUAUCUCCAGAGGACGGAUUGGCGGCCCUGGAGGCAUGGGACUUAACGACAGCACCACCGACAGAGGCACGACCCAAGCCCCAAAGACCAGGCCAUAGCACAAAUAUGAACUAAAAUGAAAGAACGGAACUGAAUGGCAUGCUAGCGCAAGUAUCACAUUAAUGCUAUAUCUGCUCAAAUGUUUUCUUGAUUAAUAUGCAAGGUGUAUGUACCCAUGCUACAAGAGGGUAUAAUCCUAACCGCUGUCUGCACUCCCUUUAAUAGCCCACUCAACUGUAAACCAGAUUGGGUAGCCCUUAGAUGCACAUGCUGCGCAAUGCAUAGAAUUUAUUAAAUGAAGUGCCAUUAUAGGACACACCUUCGCAUAGGGCGCUGUCACUAAAGCAUGAGCCCAACGGGACAAUCUAUCCCACUGCCCAAUGUCUAGCACUACUAGAUAAGCACGCUUCGAUGCGCACAAGGGCACCGGGGAAACCUAACACAGCCCAAGCCCAAAUACGCGCCACACUGCACAAUUAAGAAUGUGGUUAAAAAGGGAGGGUAAAAACAAUGUUCUUGCAUAAUUACAGCAGCAGCGGUCAAAACAGACAGCAUCGAUUAUCGUAAUGAUACCUGCAUGCCUAUCCAAUAACAAAGUUUAAAGUUGUGUUGAAAGUUUUAUUGUUGAUCCACGCUAUAACCAAGGUUUCAGCUCUACCAAAUAGUUGUUUAUAUAUAGACAGGAGCCCAACUAGCCACGUAUUUGGAAGCUCCAGCUCCGCAGCCCCACGGUACGACUAACGUACCAGACCGCACGGUCUUUGUAUAUAAUCCACCCUAACCACCGACAGAACCCCGUCCUCCCAGCCUUCCCUACCUCUCCCCUGCACCUACACGACACGGCAGCUACACGCACCUCCCAUCCUAAGCAAACCACCACCGCAUACAAUACUUGAACUUACGCAACACUCCAUAAUAACCAUGAUCAUCUACUCACACAACACAAAGGGGCUCAACACGCCUCACAAACGGCGAGUGCUACUGGAUGAUAUAAAAAGCACGAAGGCAGACAUAGUCUGCAUUCAAGAAACGCACUUUGUCACUAACCGAAUACCCACCUUCGCAACUAGAGACUACCCCACACAGUACCAUGCCACGCACACUUCUAAAUCCAGAGGGGUCUCCAUACUGUUACAUAACUCAUUAACAGUGGAGACUCUGCGAGUCAAAACGGACAGCCAAGGCAGAUACCUUAUUCUUCAAUGUAUAAUUAACAACGACCCACUCAUUCUAGUAUGCCUAUACAGCCCAAAUGACCAACAGCGCAACUUCCUCCAUAAGGUCCUCAGCAAACUGCCAGAAGAUUCAAAUGAUCCCAAGAUUAUCUGCGGAGACUAUAACCAUACUAUGGACUCGCGAACAGACACAACAACCCCUGCCACAUCAACAAGGCACCUCACACUGGGCCCAAACAACAAAGCAUUCACAAAGCUUAUACACGAAAAUAGCCUAUACGAUGUUUGGCGAACUAGACACCCAUCGGACAGAGAAUACACAUUCUUCUCGCACGUACACAAGACAUAUUCAAGAAUAGACCACAUCCUCGCUUCAGGCACGAUACUACCGCUCAUAGAGGACUGCUCAAUAGGCAAUAUAGUCUGGUCCGACCACGCCCCAAUUACACUGACCCUGCGAUCUAACUACCAACAUAGAGGUAAACCACCAUGGCGCCUCAACGAAACACUCCUUCAGGACAAAGUGUUCACGACAAAAUUGAUGAAAAACCUGCAAGACUAUUUUCACACCAACGAUAACCCGGAGACCUCCAUCUACAGUAUCUGGCAGGCCCAUAAAACUGUCCUGAGAGGUCAGCUGAUCAGCCGAGCAUCAUACCUCAAACGCCAAAGGGACAAGGCACAUAUAGACCUUCUUCGACAGCUAAGAGACAUCACGGCUGCACAUUUUCUGAACCCAUCGGACACGCAUGCAAACGACAUACAAAAUAUCACUAAACAAAUCAAUAUCUUAACUCUUGAGAAAACGGCCCACAUCCUUACCAAACUGAAACUACGAACAUACACGCAAGGUAACAAAGCAGGGAAACACUUGGCCAACUUACUCAAACAAAAGCAGGCCAACUCCAAAAUCCCACACCUAAUCACCAAAACUGGCGAGAAAAUUCAUAACCCACAAGACAUCAAUGACGAUAUGGCCGACUACUACCACUCCCUCUACAACCUUAAAACAGAUCCCACCCUACACCAACCUACCACACAAGAAAUAGACGAAUUCCUUCACACUAUGGAACUCCCCACUCUAACGACAACACAAAAACACACUAUACAACAUCAGAUCACCGAGCAAGAAAUCAUAGACACCAUAAACUCCCUACCACCUGGAAAAUCACCAGGCCCAGACGGACUACCCAACUCAUAUUACAAACAGUUCGCGCCUACCCUAGCUCCCUACCUACAAAGAGUAUACCACCACAUCCUACAGACAGGGACCAUGCCACAAGAAAUGCUCAUGGCCCAUGUUGCCACCCUCCCCAAACCAGGGAAACCCCCAAACAAAUGCCAAAAUCUGCGCCCCAUCUCGCUGUUAAACACGGACGUGAAAAUUAUAGCAAAAAUCCUCUCAAACAGGCUAGCUCCCAUAAUUCCUUCACUUAUUAAAGAAGACCAAGUAGGGUUUGUGAGGGGCAGACAAGGAGCGGACGGCACGCGAAAAACCCUGGACCUACUAUACGUGAUACAGCAAAAAAAGAGGCCCAGCGUCCUACUAUCCCUAGAUGCCGAAAAAGCCUUUGAUAGGCUCCAUUGGCCCUUCCUGUUGGCUGUCCUCCACAAAUUUGAAUUUCCCCCACAAUUUAUAUCACUCAUUAAAGCACUAUACUCUCAGCCAACAGCCCGAGUGGUAAACGGGGGUUUUAUCUCAAAACCCUUCCAUAUAACUAACGGCUCUAGACAGGGCUGCCCACUUUCCCCACUGCUGUACAUCCUGGCGCUAGAACCCCUCACCCAACUCAUACGAGACAACCCGAAUAUCCACGGUAUUAAAACUGGGGACCAGGAGUACAAAUUGUCCCUAUUUGCGGAUGAUAUCUUACUAACCCUGGAACAACCACAUAUCUCCCUGCCCAAUUUCCACGCAAUCCUCUCUAGAUAUAGCGCCUGCUCAUAUUACAAGUUGAACAUCACUAAGACUCUAGCCAUGGGGAUUAAUAUCCCGAGCCCUGUCCUGACAACCCUUAAAUCCAAUUUUAACUACGACUGGAGACAAGACAAUAUCAAAUUUCUAGGAAUAAACUUCACACCUACAACGAACACACUGCUCAAAGCGAACUAUACUAAACUGCUUAAGGAAGCUAAAUCCCUAAUGCAAAGCUGGAGGGGGAAAUAUGUGUCCUGGACUGGACGAAUAGCCUCGGUGAAGAUGGUGAUUCUACCCAAGAUUCAAUAUCUGUUCCGUACACUCCCACUCCGACUCCCCAAAAAGUAUCUAAUGGAACUACAAAACGUCAUAAACGACUUCGUCUGGGACAAUAAAAAACCAAGGGUGUCCAAAGCCACAAUGUACAAGCCACACGCCCAGGGCGGGAUGGGCCUGCCCGAAUUGGCGGGAUACUACAGGGCAGCGCACAUAGCUCCACUCAUUGCUGCAACACACAGCCAGGUCCCCACAGCGUGGGCAAAACUGGAGGAAAGGCAAGCCCGGAAGAUCCCAAUCCAGACUCUAGCCUGGCUAUCAAAAACUCACAGACCCAAAGCUUCAGAACUGCUCCCCACUACAGCACUAACCCUGUCCAUAUGGGACAGCUACCGGAAAAAAAGAGGCGCGACAAACCUACUCUCCCCGGCGAUGCCAUUAGAGACACUCCGACAGCUUAUCCCAGAUUUCAAUUAUAAACUCUGGCAAAGGCACGGCAUAACCACAAUAUCGCAUAUAAUGCAAGGAAAUAACCCCAAAUCAUUCUCAGAACUUCGCACAGAAUUCAAGCUACCUAAUACGGCGGCCUUUUCCUACCUCCAACUACAAUCAUGGAUACGCAUCCACACUCCGACACAACCUGCUGAUCCUCCAAACCUCCAUUGGACUAAAUUGAUGAAGAUCUGCACAAGGGAAAAACCAGCGACAAAACUUAUCUCCACAUUAUACGCCUCGGAACGCAUAGAGACCCUAACGGACCCACCUUCCUUUAAAGUGGCAUGGGAACAAGACAUCGGACACACACUCUCAAAUGACCAAUGGCAAGAUAUAUACCAAGCUCAUAAACGACUAACCCUCUGUACGACCCACAUAGAACUCUCACGCAAACUACUCUACAGGUGGUACCUAGUCCCCGCAAAACUCAAACAUAGCUACCCCGAUACAUCGGACACAUGUUGGAGAUGUCAAGCGCACCGAGGCACCCUACUACACAUAUGGUGGCAAUGCCCGCUACUACAACGAUACUGGGCACAAGUUGCGAACCUGGCUACAAAAUGCACCAAGGUGCAGAUAACCCCCACACCAGAAACAUUCCUACUACUCUCACUCCCACAAUUGCCACACCUGCACCUGAAGUAUCUACUGUACCACAUCUGCAUUGCAGCCCUCACAGUCAUUAGCAGAAAAUGGAAGCAACAAAUCACACCAACACUCCACCAAUGCAUUGAGGUAAUAGAAUCAACCAAACUAUAUGAACUUAUGGCAAGGAAAUUGAGACAGUCUCACCCCUACUGGACUGAAGCAUGGGACCUGUGGGACAAAACUAGACCACAACAAUCAUAUAUAACACAACCCUGAAGCUGGAAACGGCACCUCCACGAUAGGAGGCUGAACUCAAAUGACAGACUGAUACCUCACCACACUACUCCACACGGCAUACACACCCAUCCCAAUUCCCCUCCUAUCCCCUAUAAACGCUAUGAUGAGACAUCCAUAACCAUAUGUAACACAAUAACCAGGGCCAUGCUAAGCUCUGCCCAGCCAGCACGACCCCAUGACGAGAAAACCCAUACUACACCAUUAAAAAAGAAGAUGACACUAUGCACAAGACACCCUCACACCACAAAGUGCUGUUACUAAGGGAUAACUACAACUGUGCAAACCCUGACAAACUACUGUAUUCAAACUGCAAUGCCUUAUGUGAUGUUAACCCACCCUAUUUACUUUCUGUACCCCCACCCCUUUUUCGACAAAAUAAAAAUUGUCAAAUUCAAAAAAAAAAAUAUGUACAUGUGGGUGUUAUUCAGAGAUUUAUGACAGAUAAUAGUGUUACAAUGUCACUAUUGAUAAAUUUUAAAAAUGUAUGUUUUGAAACCGCAAUAUCCUACUUGUACCUAUAGCCCUAUAACAUGCAAAAAAGCAAAAAAGCACGUAAACACUAGGUAUUUUUAAACUCAGGACAACAUUUUGAAUCUAUUUAGCAGUUUUUUUCAUUCGCUUUUGUAGAUGAGUAAAAGAUUUUUCAAGUAAAAGUCAAAAAACAUGUAUUUUUUUCAAUUUUUCAUCAGAUUUUUGUAUUUUUUUUAAAUUAAAAUACAUGAGAUUAUAUAAAUAAUGGUAUGUAAAGAAAGCCCCUUUUGUCCUGAAAAAAACAAUAUAUAAUUUGUAUGGGAACAGUAAAUGAGAAAGCGGAAAAUUACAGCCAAACACAAACACCAUAAAAGUGUAAAAAUAUGCCUGGUCGCAAAUGUACAACAUCGCAAAAACAGUCCAGUCCUUAAGGGGUUAAAACUAUCUUUCAUUGAUGAGCUAGCAGCUGUUAAUGACACAAUGUAUCUUAUUUAGUAACCAGACUAUCCAAGGUUCAUGCCGUUCCCCCACCCCUAGAACCGAUCGCACUACUGAUCACGAUUGCGAUCGGUCUGUUGCCAUGGUAAUAUGUAAAUAGACGCCUCCGUGCGUCCCGACGGGUUUCCCAGGCAACUACUGGAACGCAGGGGUUACACAGCAGCAACAGCUGCUGCACACAUGCAAUAGGGUCAAGUUUUGCCCGCGAAUUUGUGGCGUUCAGAUAGCAGCUUGGGUAAGUCUCAGUUGUAUCCAAUGUACUUGAUUGAGUAUGUUAUUUAUUUUGUAACAUUUGUUAUGCACUGGUAUCCUGACGAAAGCUCCAAGUGGGAGCUGAAACGUUGAUCACUUUUGGCAGUUGCUGAAUAAAGCUAAGUUGUUUUUUUUCACCUUAUAUGAAGUCCCUGGAGUGCUUUUCACAUUUUUCUAUCUAUUAUUUGUGCCGACAAGCACCGGGCUAUAUAUACUUCUUUACAGGAGUGCAAGCAUUGGACAAUAUUAUAUCCAGUGUGUGUGUGUGUGUGUGUGUGUGUGUGUGUGUGUGUGUGUGUGUGUGUGUGUGUGUGUGUGUGUGUAUAUAUAUAUAUAUAUAUAUAUAUAAAAAUAUUGGGUGAUGUGAGUUUGCACCCAGAUCACUUCAAUGAGCUGAAGUAGUCUGGGUUCCUACAGUGUUCCUUUAAAAAGGUAGGCCAAGAUAGCGGAAUUAGACACACACACACACACACACACACAUAAUCUUCGGUAUUUUUAAUAUAUAAUUUUUUUUAACAUACAACAUCAAUUUGUGGUAUAAUCCAAGGCUUCCAAUAUGUUAAAGGCAUCAGCUGUUACAGAUCAACAGCUACACGUAACCUCCACAGAUGUGGAAGCUUGUGUUACUUUGUAUAGGUUGUCCAGAUGCCAUUAAAGUUUGUUGUGCGUUCCAAGGUGGAGGCACAUGUGCGUGGGGCACUUCUGGAACGUCCAUGGCGUAUGACGUACAAGUGUGCGCCAAUGCACCGGACGAGAUGGGAGAUGAUGCCUUUGUGUGCAUGCGCAUAGACCUAAUUGGGUGCAAAGAUUUGAAUAUUUAAAAGAAACACUGGAAGGACGUACAGCUCAUCCCCAGCUCCUGAGGAAGUCCCGAGUACGGCGGGACAAAACACGUUGAGCCAGAAGGUGACAGCCCAGAGACGGUGUAUAUUCUACUGUAGGUAUCCCCUAGCCCCCAGGAGUCGCGACCAAAGGGCUUUGAGAAUACCCAUUCUCACCAUAUAUAGUGGUUGGUGCCGGAUAUUUAUCCCGGUUUCACAAUAGUGCUGGGUUUUUUUAUGUAUAUAUCUUUAUACGGAAUAAUUCUUGUUACUUUUAUAGUCUGAUCUGACUAUUUUGUAGUCACUACAUCUCAGUUUCCUAGCACCCUCAGUUGGUGUAAUAUUGGGGUUAGCCCCAAUUUUCCACUUUUUUUAAAAAAUUUUUUAUAAACAGUCCAUAGAAAAGCAUUUGCUUUCCUAUAAACGUUCUGCACGCUGGAUGUCAGGAAGAAGGCUGGAUGAACCAUGCAAUGUAAACAUAGCAGUUUCUCUGAAACUGCUGUUUACAUUUGAAGGGUUGAAACAUGGGGGACCUGGCACCCAGACCACUGCAUUGAGCUGAAGUGGUCUGGGUGACUAUAGUGUCCCUUUAAAUUUUAAAUUCACGGCAAGUCUCACUUUAGUGAAUAACCCUGUUCGUAUGUAUCCCUUAGAGUGUUUUAGUUUCUUCCACAGAAUUUUUUCUUUCUUUAUCUUUAGCACCACAAAAUGGAGACAGGUUCCCUACUAAAACCUUAAUAUUUAACUUCCUCACAAGCCCAUUGGCAGAAGGAGACUAGCUUGAGUGACCAGGUGUUUUAUUUCGUCAAACUGCAGGGACUAUCACUAGAUCUUCAUUUCUCCAUAGCCAUUGCAAGAAGCUGUAGAGUUUAUGAUACUCAGUGUGCUUUUUUCAUCUGUUUUGUGACUAGAAUUACCACCCAAUCCAGCUACUCCUAAGGUUGUGAGGCAAAUAUUUCAGGUACUCUCAAGCACACAUUCUUUGUAGUGUGGUCUUAUUGGCUGUAUAUAACUAACCAUCCCCAGCACCUCAAUAUUCAUUUAUGUCACACUCUCCCUCUUCUCAUUGCUUUAUUAAAUAAAUUCAAUAAAAUGUUUUAAUAAAAAACAUAUAAAUUAAAUGAAAAAAAAAGGGGAGAGAGUGUAGAUACCGGACGUAUGAAAAACACAAGCAACUCACUCCAACACAUGGUUACUUGUUAUGUAUUUAGCUGUGCAAACAGUAUUGUCAUGUGGCUACAUAUCACAUGCUAUCUUAAUGAUGUAUUUCCAUAUAAAAACACUAGUCAGUUUAAAGGAAAACUAUAGUGCUGGGACUGCAACGUUGCAUUCUUAGCACUAUGGUAUCCUAUAGUGUGAUACCAUAUCCCUCCCCUCAUUGCUGAAAGCGUUAAAAAACAUUUUGUUACUUACCUGAUUCCAGAGCUGAUGUUCCUCAGCUAUGGGUCAGGCUCCACCUCUGCCAUCAGGGGGGUGGACCAAAUGCACCUCCAUGGCUAUCGAAUUAGGAUUACCACAUGGAAAGAAUUGAAUCAAUCCAAAAGGAAUCUAGCCUGGGUUCCAAGCUUAAAUAGUAAAGACAAAAAAGGAAAUUGGGGGCACACCCGGACCAUACAUUUUGCAGGAACGGUGCUGCCAUAGUAACCAAAAUUUAUAUAUAAUACAAAUUAAGUUACAGCACACAUAUAAAAAUGCAUUUUUACCUUUUUUUAGGCUAUGUAUUAAAUUUUUGUCACUACGGCAGCACCAUUCCUGCAAAAUGCUAGUUCCAUGUGUGCCUCCAAUUCCUUUUUUUUUCUUUACUAAAUAAAUUCUUAUAUCUUCUCCACAAGAUGCAAUUGACAAGCUCCAUUAUUAUACCAACAAGAAGAGCAUUAUGAAGGCUCCUAGAUCUCCUCCUGAAUUCCCUGCCCUAUACUCUUCUAUUUAGAGCAGGCUUCCCCAAACACCGGCCCUCCAGAUGUUGCUGAACUACAACUGGAGGGCCAGAGUUUGGAGAAGCCUGAUUUAGAGGUUCAUGAAUUUAUCAUCCACUACUUUGACUUAAACAAAGAGACUUUGCAGCCCUCAACAAGGUCUUAAAAGCCUCUAACAUUAUUUACCGCUAGGGAUUUCCAACUCAGCUGAAUCACUAACAGAACAUAAUGACGAAAGAGACUACUUUGCCUCAAGAUGUUUUGCUCUUCUGCAACAAUAGGACAUUCCAGUGGAACGUCGUGAGGAUUAGUUUAAAGCAAGGUUUUUACACUCUGUCCAAACUGCUCCAAGAAUGGCUUUGUUCCAGUUGAACGUAAUAAACUUUCUACUAUGUUCUAGAAUAGAUAUUGUAUACUGGUCCUUUUAGCCAAGUUUGUAUAUUUUUUUUAUAUAUAUUGUAAUGUGUAUUGAUAUUGAUUUUAAUCUCCUAUAUCUUUUUCCCCCCCUCUUAUUUAAUGGUUUAUCUGAAAUAUUGAUAUCCAAAAGUUAUAGAGAAUUUUUGUUUUUCGAUGACACAUCAAUGUUUUAUAUAUUAAAAUAAAAACUUCACUUCCACUGGAAGGUAAGACUUUGCUCAGUCGUGGUGGUUCCGAGCAGACUGCUGGCUCACCAGGGCUAGUUGCCUUUAUUUUUAAUUUCCUGGUUGUUUAUACUUAUGCCUUUUUUUUUUUCUUGUGUGUUCUCACCUUGGCAUUUUUUGCAGUCUGUACUUUUUCUUAUGUUUUAAAGAAAAAUAUAUCAGAAAUAAAGAAUAGAAGAACAGAUUCUGAGAAAAGAGGAAGCAAUAGGAAAAAGGUAAUUUCGGCUUGACAGUGUCGCUUUAAGGAUAUUGGCAAAAAUACAACAAUCCAGAAAACAAAUCCCGAGGACAGACAAUCUAAAUGUCACAACCCUUAAUCAGUAGAGUGUCAAGGUGUGCCUCCUCCUCCCGGUAGAAUGAGACUCAGGUGUAAAACUGCAUGUGUCACUUUGUUGAAAAUUGGUUUAGACAUUGCUCCUGAAAGUUUCUAAUUUCACACUCAAUUAUUUGGCACCGGCAUCAACAGUAUGUGUUUAUGUACUAAUAAUCUGUAUUCACAGAAAUAUUCAUAGACUUCUAUAUGGCAUUUUUCUGGGAAAUAUCACAUAGUACCUAAUUCUGUCCUUCAAGGAACACUAUAGUCGGCAGAACAACUACAGCUUAAUGUAGUUGUUCUGGUGAGUAUAAUAGUUCCCUUCAAGCAUUUUCAUGUAAAUACUGCCUUUUCAGUCCCUACUUUGUCUUAUGUUUUAAAGAAAACUAGAGCAGAUAGGAAUGAAUAACAGAUCCUGACAGAGGGAGAGAAGAGGAAGCUAUUAGGGAAAGGUAAGUUCAGCAUGACAGUGUUGCUUUAAUAAUGCAUAGGAAAAUAGGGCGCAUAAAUCAAAGCAAAGAAAAUGAAAGGAACCCCCCCCCAAAAAAAACAAACAAACCAAAAAACCUUAAGGAUAACAACUGUCCAGUCCAACUAAGUUGUCAAAAACAUUUUUACUAUAUCAAUAAUUUUAUCAAAUUUUGGAAGGAAAUUGAUUUAAAAAAAAAAAGAAAAAAGAAAAUUUCACUGCUCAAUUCACUGUCAUUUAGGAGUUAAAUUACUUUGUUUCUGUUUAUGCAGCCCUAGCCACACCUCCCCUGGCUAUGAUUGACAGAGCCUGCAUGGAAAAAAAAACUGGUUUCACUUUCAAACAGAUGUAAUUUACCUUAAAUAAAUUGUAUCUCAAUCUCUAAAUUGAACUUUAAUCACAUACAGGAGGCUCUUGUGGGGUCUAGCAAGCUAUUAACAUAGCAGGGGAUAAGAAAAUCCUAAUUAAACAGAACUUGCAAUAAAGAAAGCCUAAAUAGGGCUCACUUUACAGGAAGUGUUUAUGGAAGGCUGUGCAAGUCACAUGCAGGGAGGUGUGACUAGGGUUCCUAAACAUAGUGAUUGAACUCCUAAAUGGCAGAGGAUUGAGCAGUGAGGCUGCAGGGGCAUGUUCUAUACACCAAAACUGCUUCAUUAAGCUAAAGUUGUUCAGGUGACUAUAGUGUCCCUUUAAAAAAUUGAUGAAAGGAUUGGUAUAUAUUGAAAAAUAGAUUUUAGGUGACAGUUGGCCUUUAACUCAUCCAUCACAGGUCUUACAUAUGGAACUUGUUCUUGAAAGGUCUAAAUGCAUAUGCACACUUGCAUUGGGUUUUCCUCUGAUGGUCCAUUCAUCCACUUAAAUGACCACUAUAGUGACAGGAAAACAAACUCAAUUUCCUGGCACUAUGUAGUCCUUAUGGCCCCCUUCCUGUUAAAACCCCAUCAGCCACUUACCUUUAUCCAGUGCCGGGCUCCCUUGGCGCUGGUGACCUCUCCUCCCCCUCUGAUGUUGGCUCCAGAGUGGAGCAGAAUGCGCAUACACGGCCAGAGUCGCGUGCGCAUUAAAAACGUCCAAAGGAAAGCAUUACUCUGAAACUGCUAUGUUUUCAGUUGCAGGGUUAAAACUAGAGGGACCUGGCACCCAGACCACUUAAUUGAGCUAAAGUUGUCUGGGUGCCUAUUGUGGUCCUUUAACAAGUGGGGUCGGAGUAAAGCAUAAAUCAAUAGUGACUCACAGGGUUAUUCACUAAAGUGUAACUAUUCAGGAAUUGCAAGUGAUUUUCACAUUUUAUGGCAUAAUAGCCACAUUGGAAAAAUAGUCCAUUAUGUUUUCAGUUUGGCUUUUUUGGUUAUGUCCAACAUUUUGUCCCUCUAAUACACAUUUUAGUCUGCUAAAUUACUGUGGCAAAACUAGCCACUUCAUUGUACCAAGAACUGUUCAUUCGUUUAAUGCCAUCUGUAAAGACUAUGUCCAUUUGUUUAAUUGGGCUCCCCGAACAGAACAUGGACAUACAAUUCGUGGAGCCGAACAAAGUACCGAAUGGAGCACCACACAAGGGAGUCGUGUGUCUCCAAUUGAGAACUGGCAACAUAGGGAAACCGCAAACACCUAGUGGUUGAAGGGGUGGUUGCCGUUCGUAUGAACAAACACGUGGCGGCGGUCAUCUUGGCGCACGAACGUCCAGUGGUGUUUGGUUGUCGAGUGCAUGGAACUAUCCACACCAUUCGUGCAGAUAAUUCCAUUCAUCCAAAUUGAGCGGCGUUCGUCUAAAUUGAAUCACUGACCGUCAGACACACGACUACCCAGUUAUAGAUGUGUAUGUUUGGUUGUUAAUUCGUAUGAACUCCCGAAAAAAGACCGGUCAUAGCCUGGAACUGUUUUGGGAUUCCCUCCUUGUGGCCGACCGGUCCCUAACUUCACUCAAAUGGCUUUUCUAUUCUAACGAACAGAUCUGAGCGGUAUUUCGACAGAUUGGGCGCUCAGAACCCAGCUAUUCAGUUAAGUGUCUUUCGUGGAGUUCGGAUAAAUAUUAUACGAAUUAUGAUAUUUUAACCAAUAUUGUGUAAUUCUCUGUACGGAGAGAUAAUGUAAGUAAAGGUGCGCUCUUACGCAAUUAUCUCUCCAGUACAGAAAAGUAUUUUGGGAAAUGUUACUGUACACUCAGUUUUCCACAAGGUCCACCAGGGGAAAACCCCUGGAAUGUCAUUAAGGAAACCCCUUGCAUGGGGAUUUGUAUAAAACCGGCUGUGGUUCAAUAAAGGUUCAGUUGACUCCCAAAACUGUGUGUCGUCCAGUUGUUGGGGAAUGGGAUUGGAAUUACUACGCUACUCUUUAUUUAUAUGCUGACUACGUCUACCAGCUGAGAUAUAGCAGUUUUACACUCUACUCCACUACAAUUACUAUCUCAGUCAAAUAAAAACUAAAGUUGGUCACACUUUCCUUUAUCACAAUAUUAUAUAGCCAAACCGGAUUUGCCAGACAUGUUGCUUCAUACACAUUACCACACCCAGGUCUGUGAAAAUUAUGAAAAACCCUAGUCUAUGAAGCAUUGUUCCCAAAAUCUAACACAGAAGCUUUUAAAUAAAUCCAUUAUUGUUUUCUAGCUACUUUGAACACAAGCCUUUAAUUACUCAUAUGAUUAAAGAAUUAUGGUAUUUUAAAAUAAAUCCACAAUAUCAUUGUGUGACUUCAGACUGCCAGGGAGUUUGAAGUUCUUGGGAAAUAUAUUUACAUGAACUCCAUCUUCAGCACUGGCAAACUCUGCUUCAAAUCCACCCUAAGCUACUGGAAGAUGAAGCUGCAUGUACUUGCUCUAUUUUUGUACUCUUGGGCAUGGAUGAUCCCAUGAAACAAAUACCAUAAACAUCUAUUGCACAGUGAGAAAGAACAUGCUGAGCAGAGAAAGGAAUCAUUAAAUAUCAGUGGGUGCCGGUGAUUGUCUGAGUGCCUGGGCUGGCCACCCGUUAUUAGUAACAGUAUAUUAGUCACCAGUACCCAACGCUUUUCAAUGAUUCCCUUCUUUGCUCACAAUGGUGUCCAAGUAGAAAAAGCAAAAGAGAGCACAGGCAGGCAAGCACAGCUUAACCCCUCAGAGAAACAUUCCAAACACAAAGCAAUUUUGCAGUCUUUAGUGUAUCUUGUUUGUUUCCCUUUACAAAAAGUGGUUGUUUAACUCAGUGGCGCAGAGGCAGGCAAUUGCUUUAAAAUAAGACUUUGCCCAGGGACUUCAUCCCUCAAAAUAAUUUAAAGGACCACUAUAGUGCCAGGAAAACAAAAUAGGAAGAAAAAAAAAAAAAGGUGCAUUUCACUUUAUCUACAGAGUGCAGUUUAACCUCUUCAUGUAAAGAGUUUAAAUAAGCAUUGACUUACAGAGUUAAAGAGACAGUUUAGGCACCAAAACAACAUCGUGUAAAUUAAGUUGUCAUGGUGCCUAGAGUGUUCCUUUAUAGUUAAGCCUAAAAGGCUACAUCGGCAGAGCUAGUUAGCCCCCUCCCCCUACCCCGUGUCUGCUGGCAGGAGGCUCACACGGGAGGACAGGUACCUGGAGGAGGAGGCGGCGGCGGCGGUGUGGCCGGCUGUCAGUGAGACGAGCUCCUGCUCCUCCUCUUGAUCUCGCUGUUGUGCAGCUUCUCCUCGAUCUUCCUCUCGUGCCCGGCCGGGACAUGGCGGUUCCCGUUCAGCUCGAUCUCUCUCUUGGUUCUCCCCUUGCCCCCGGCCCCGCAGCCGUAGUCCUGCAGGUUGUAAUAUUCAUACUGGUCGUAGUGGUCGCGCUCGAAGUCCACCAGGCUCUCCAGGUCGGCCGACAUGAUCCGCAGUUGGGGCUCGGUCUCUCGCUCCGUCCUGACAGCUGGCUUCUGUUUUCAAAAACAACGAGCACGUGACAGCAACGGCGCUCUGUCAUUGGACGGCUGGGACAAGUGUGGAACGUGGACUGAGUUUGCGUGUCAAGCCUCGCUUUGGGGGGGGGGGGAGGU